UUUUAUCUACCGACUCCUAGUUAGAAAUCCCUUGCAAGGGGUGUUAGGGUUCUGAGAGAAGGCUGGUAAGUAAUGAGGCUUUUAACUUAUUUCAGUAUCCUGUUCAGGUCGGGAAUAUGUUGUGUUCUAAUUACUCUAGUUUCCAGCUCAAUUGGUGUUGGAGAAACUAGCCCACUUAUAAGUGGCUCAAAUGAAAACCCACGGGGAGGCAUUUUUCUUUAAUAAGCAACCCUAAGCCCCCUUUGAAGUCAGUCUGACUAAUCAAAAGAAAGAGGUUAUAUAUCCCAGUUUUGACCUUUUGUGAAAAUAGCCCUUUUACUGUAUGUGAUAUAUUAUUGGCAUCUCAUUCUGCACAGUCCAAAUGAUGUAGACAAAAUAGUGAUUGGUAUAUAACUAUGGACACCGAAGAUCCACUGCAAGGCCUGCCGAUCACUUUACACAGAAGGAGCCCCUUUCCUGAGGUCCGCUUGCUCGCUCGGGGUGGGGUGGUACUUUGCCCUAGUAAACUACCAAGCAGUCCGAACGUUCGCUCCUCUGGAAGACCGAGUUGUGGGCGGCUGCGCUGCGGGGGCAAACUCGCCGCAUGCCCGCUGGCCAGAGCGAGUCGGGGCCUGGCGUUAGGGCAAUCCAGACUGGCCGGCAUGGUACAGGGCGUAUCCCUAGCCGCCUUCUGUGUCAUAUGGGGCGCCGCCCUCCAGCCUAGGAGAGGCGGCCGCUAGGAGGGGCAGAAGGGCCUUGUCUGCCCCGGUCUGAAUACCCCAGGCGGGGUCGGAAAGCGGGUCACAGAAGAGCCCAGUAAACUGCAGGGGUGCAGCUCGUCUCCAGGAACCGGCAACCCCCAGGGCCGCACAAGCCGGUAACAACCCAUAAUCCGAUCCUGUCUUCGGGAUCAGAAGAGAGGACAGCUGGCCCGCGCGCCAGCUCAGUUCCUCCUCCGCAUUCUUCAGGAGGAGCCCCAGAAACGCACUUCCGCCGCGCGGGCCUGCCUCCACGCAGGGCGCGUCCUAGGCCGGUUCAUUUCCGCCCAGCGCUUUCUGUGGCUAGGGGAGUCAGGGGUUUCCUUUUCCCUUAUUCGGGCUCUUAUGUUACCCCCGUUUUCCGUUGAACCCUUUUCUCCCCUCUUGCCCUCCAAAAAAGCAGUCUGCUGCCGCUCCCGACUUUUCUCGCUGAGACACCGUCAGCUCACUCCGAGCCCAGCACAGCGGCCAUCUUCGGUAAAUUCUGGCAGCAGCCCGCCUGUUCAUUGUCCUGUGUGCCCAGAGGAAAGAACUACUCAUUUUUCGUGAUCAAGCUAGGGGAGGCAGGAGCAAUAAUGGCCCUGCUAUAGGACUGGCUUUUAUUUGAAUUCCAACUCUUCUGCCACCUUAACCAGCUGUAUCCAGAUUUUAAAAGUUAAUCUAUCCGAGCCUCUUAUUAAAUAUUAGGUUGAUGAGAUGAUGCAUGCAAAGCGCUUAGAACAGUACUAGGCAUAAAGCGUCCGACAUAAAGGUUAAGUAAAAGUAAGGAAAAGCUAUGGGGAUGUAUUGAGUAUCUCUUUGCCCAAUGACGUAUUAGUCGUAUUAAAUAUGGAAAGUGCCUUUGAUUCGCCGUGCCCAUGGGAGAAGGCAUAGGAAUGGCCUUUUCCCACCUGUAAUCAGAGAGCAGGUGUUUCAAGAACGCCUCAAUAUGUUUGCGAUCUCUCACGCAGCCUUUCAGGCUCCUAAUUCCUACGAAGUUUCCGCUUUUAUUCAAAUUGGCUCACUCCUUUUUGCAGGGCUUUGUACUGAAUGAGUAUUCUUUUAAGGGUGGUGGACAAGCAAAGGUUUGGUAGCAUCACAUUUUUAAUUUCACAGGGAAAAUGGGUAUGAAACAUCUUCCCAAGUACAUCUUAGACUGCCAGCUGACAGCAAGCCAUAAUGCUCCCCAGCUCUUGGGCCCUACACCCCCUCUCCCCCAUCCCCGCUUUAGUUCUUUGUCAUUGCUCAUGGACAGCUGGUUUGGGGACCAGGUGCAGAUGAUGGGAGGUGUCUGAAAAACAGCAAGUGAGAAAUGCUAGUUUUGUUGUUUUAAGUUGCACUGAUGACUCCAGUAGUUAUCUGUGCUGCUUGUGAUAAUUUAUAAGGCAAUGAUAACGAAUUAAACAUACAAAAGAUUAUUAUCUUCCACAGGAAAAAAAAACUGCAAACUUGUGACACCAUUUAUGAUCCACUUAGUCUUGAGAUACUGAGUAAUAGAACUUUCUCCUUUUAGGCUGAGUUAUGAACUUCGGUUUGGUUUCUUUCUGCAAUCCCUGCAGGGCCAUAAAUUCUUGGCCCUUAAGACUGGGUGGCCCAUAACAGACUCAGUGAUACCAUCAGUAACCACAAUUCACACUGGAGUCAAGUUAUCUGAUUCCCACACCAGUUGGAGAACUGGAGAUUCCUUAGAACUUUUAACUGUCAUGUUUUCAAAGUUGACAUGGAAAAUUUUACAUGAAGCUUAAAAAUACAACUAAUCUGUGGUGAUAGAGACGAGAAGAGUUAAGCUCUAAAAUUAGAAGAGCAGUUCGUUUUGAGGCAGCACUGAUUGGGAGGGAGCAUGGAGUAUAUAAUUACACAUUUCUAUGUAAUGUAAAAAUGUAUAGAUUUAAGAUUUAUGCAUUUUAUGUAAAUUUUACUACAAUAAAACGAAAAUGAAAGAAGACAGAUCAUAGUUUAAUCAAAUAUUGUGUACAAAGUAAUUUCUGUUAAACAUUUAUAUUUUUAUGUGUAUAUGUAUCUUUUACAUGUAUGUGUUAAGGAUAUGCAUUAAAAUGGUAAUAACUUCCUCUGCCUGUUGGGAUAAUGGAGAGUUUUGUUACUUUUUGUCUUUUUUUAAAACAUGUUCUUCAAUAAUAAUGUAUUGCUUUUGUAAUUAUGAAAAACAAAAGUUAUUUUGUAAAUCUUUGUUACUGAUAAGAGAUGGGUAUUCUGUUAACUACUCAAUUCUCAUGUAGGAAAACAAAAUAAAUAAUGUCUAUUUGAUAAAUCGAGAAACAGAAGCAUUACUUAGAAAUCUGAGUUACCUCUAAAAUAAUGACUGGCAUUUGAAGUUGAGGAUGGGUCUUGAGUUCCUGUGAUUUUAAGCUCUUGGAUAUGAGGGUUGGGUGAGUUCCUCUUUUUCUCUUUUAAAAUAUAUGUAUGUUUAACUUUGCUAAAUAAAAUUUAAAAGAUGC
rnacentral:lncRNA from 1 species